AUGAAAAUCCUGGAGAACAGAGUGGAAGAAACGCGUAUUCCACAUUUCCUGUUGAUUUUCUUUCCUCCCUAAACACUGACCUCCCGCAGUCUUCACUAGCAGGUAAGCCCAUUUUCCUCCCUACACCACCAUAGCCUGUAGGUCCCUAACUUCCAGACCCUGCUCAGGGUUAAACAAGCUGGACACUGAACAGCCUCUGGGGGGUGCCAUGUCUAGCAAGUCCAUGGGAAUGAGAACCGUUGGGUUGUGCAGUCCACACCCUGCACAACUGUAAGCUACUUAACUCCAGGCUCAGAGCCAAGCGAAAAUGCCAGCUUUAUUAUGCUAAUUAGACUAAUGAUCUGCUGACUUUUUGGAGUAAGAGGCUUUGACCUCCCUGCUCAGCACAACCAGAAUGAGGAAGCUUUCAGAAGACAACAGCACCUCAGGGGGCCCCAGCAGCCUCUUCUGCCCCCAAGCUGAGGACUAUGUCCAAAGGUUGCCAACUCAGGCUGGGGUAGGGGGUUGUCAGCUGGGCCUGCAACCCUCUUAGGUGUCAUCUGCUUCAUUAUCCUCUCCUGGCAGGGUGUUCUGGCCUCCAGAGCAUCUGGAUGGGUUCCAGGAUAUAAAUGUGACACUGUCAUUGCAUUAAAGUAGUCGAGCUGAAACCCCUGAAAACAAUCGUAGGACGAUGACAAGGUUUUGGCAGCUGCAAUCUUAAAGACCAGGAAGUGAGGUGAGGUCACCUGUAGAGGUCAUGCUGCGGAGUCCCGAGUCCCUGAUUAUAUUCAAGACGUGGAGCUCUCUUUUUCCCGUCCUGCUUUCUUUCCAGAAGUGCCUCAGAUGCAUCCUCCCCUUCUCUUUUCUCCACAUGAAGACGUCACUGACCAUCUUCUCUGGUUUGCUUUCCAACACCGAGCACCAAGUGCUUCAAAGGUCAUGGUGCCCUGGGGCCGAGAGCUACUUAUGUGGGCAUUUAUAACCAAAUAAAUAUUGAAAUGGCCCACAAA
rnacentral:lncRNA from 10 species